GAGAAACCCCCCCCCUCGCACCCCCCGGCUGGGUUCGGGACGGCCACAGGGCAAUGGGGCAGGGCCGGGGUAGCUGCAGGGGGCUGCAGUGGGGCUCUGGGGUGUCUGCGGAGGGUCAGGGCAGCCCUGGAGGGGCUGCAGUGGGGUCCUGGGGUGUCUGCGGAGGGUCAGGGCAGCCCUGGAGGGGCUGCAGUGGGGUCCUGGGGUGUCUGCGGAGGGUCAGGGCAGCCCUGGAGGGGCUGCAGUGGGGUUUUUGGGGUGUCUGCGGAGGGUCAGGGCAGCCCUGGAGGGGCUGCAGUGGGGCUCUGGGGUGUCUGCGGAGGGUCAGGGCAGCCCUGGAGGGGCUGCAGUGGGGCUCUGGGGUGUCUGCGGAGGGUCAGGGCAGCCCUGGAGGGGCUGCAGUGGGGCUCUGGGGUGUCUGCGGAGGGUCAGGGCAGCCCUGGAAGGGCUGCAGUGGGGCUCUGGGGUGUCUGCGGAGGGUCAGGGCAGCCCUGGAGGGGCUGCAGUGGGGUUUUUGGGGUGCCUGUGAGGCCAGCGCACCCCCAGGGCAGCUUUAGUGGGGGUUGGGGGGGUGAAAGCCUUCGGGGGGCUCUGAUGAGGUUUGGAGGUGUUCAGGGGCCGGCCUGUCUUUAAGAGAGCUUCUGAGGCAUUUGGGGUGGCUCGGGGGUCUGCAGCCAGGUUUGGGGGUGCUCCGUAGCCAGCCAGGUUUGGGGGGGCUCCGCAGCCAGGUUUGGGGGGCUCCGUAGCCGCAGCCAGGUUUGGGGGGGCUCCGCAGCCAGGUUUGGGGGGCUCUGUAGUCACAGCCAGGUUUGGGGGUCCCUGCGCAGCCCCACAGCCCUGCCUCCCCCCAGCCGAGGGGGUUCCCGGGGGUCUUCUCUCGUGUCUCUUUUAAAGGCUAUUAACAGCCCUGCCGCCCCCCGUGGGGCGGCCCCGGGCCUGGAGGGGCCUUAGCGGGAGAGAGCGGCCCCCCAAGACCCCCCAAAUCCCGGGGACGCCCGGGGCCCCCCGCUCUCUCCCGUUAAGCUCCCCGGCCCCACCAGGUAAGUGGGGUGUGGUGGGGGGGCUCCCCUGACACCCCCAAAUCCCUCCCUGCCCCCAGGGAGACCCCCCAUCCCUGCCGCCCCCUGCCCGGGGCGGGGCUUUCCAGCACCCCCAAACCUGUCGGGGACCCCUGAAUCUGGGGGGGUUGGCGUAACGCCUUGCCCCACAGCGGGGGGUCUGGGGGGGCUGCCCCGCUCCCUCGUUUGGGGUUCGGGUCUCCCCGGGGCCGUUUGGGAUUUCUCCCUCCUCAGGGGGGGAUUUGGGGGUGCAAGGUCCCCGCCGGGUUGUUUGGGGGGUAAAUCCCCCCCAUGGGUUAUCUGGGCUGAGGGUUUGGGGGUGCUGAUCCCCCCCCAGGGGUUUUGGGGUGAAGAUUUGGGGGUGUCACCCCCCGGGAUUAGGGUUUUGGGGAUUCAAUCCCCCCCCAAGUUAUCUGGGGGUUAAUCCCCCCCAGUGUUAUUUUUUGGGGGUAUCAACCCCUGGGUUUAUUUGC